CCUACGGGGGGCAGCAGUCGGGAAUAUUGCGCAAUGGAGGAAACUCUGACGCAGUGACGCCGCGUGCAGGAAGAAGGUUUUCGGAUUGUAAACUGCUUUAGACAGGGAAGAAAAAAGACAGUACCUGUAGAAUAAGCUCCGGCUAACUACGUGCCAGCAGCCGCGGUAAUACGUAGGGAGCAAGCGUUAUCCGGAUUUAUUGGGUGUAAAGGGUGCGUAGACGGAGAAGCAAGUUAGUUGUGAAAUCCCUCGGCUUAACUGAGGAACUGCAACUAAAACUACUUCCCUUGAGUACUGGAGAGGAAAGUGGAAUUCCUAGUGUAGCGGUGAAAUGCGUAGAUAUUAGGAGGAACACCAGUGGCGAAGGCGACUUUCUGGACAGUAACUGACGUUGAGGCACGAAAGUGUGGGGAGCAAACAGGAUUAGAUACC
rnacentral:rRNA from 1 species